rnacentral:rRNA from 1 species
AGAUGUGCCCAGAUGGGAUUAGCUUGUUGGUGAGGUAACGGCUCACCAAGGCGACGAUCCCUAGCUGGUCUGAGAGGAUGACCAGCCACACUGGAACUGAGACACGGUCCAGACUCCUACGGGAGGCAGCAGUGGGGAAUAUUGCACAAUGGGCGCAAGCCUGAUGCAGCCAUGCCGCGUGUAUGAAGAAGGCCUUCGGGUUGUAAAGUACUUUCAGCGGGGAGGAAGGUGUUGUGGUUAAUAACCGCAGCAAUUGACGUUACCCGCAGAAGAAGCACCGGCUAACUCCGUGCCAGCAGCCGCGGUAAUACGGAGGGUGCAAGCGUUAAUCGGAAUUACUGGGCGUAAAGCGCACGCAGGCGGUCUGUCAAGUCGGAUGUGAAAUCCCCGGGCUCAACCUGGGAACUGCAUUCGAAACUGGCAGGCUUGAGUCUUGUAGAGGGGGGUAGAAUUCCAGGUGUAGCGGUGAAAUGCGUAGAGAUCUGG